rnacentral:rRNA from 1 species
AGUGGCGGACGGGUGAGUAACGCGUGAGAAUCUACCUUCAGGACGGGGACAACAGCUGGAAACGGCUGCUAAUACCCGAUAUGCCGAAAGGUGAAAAGUUUUUUCGCCUGGAGAGGAGCUCGCGUCCGAUUAGCUAGUUGGUGAGGUAAAAGCUUACCAAGGCGACGAUCGGUAGCUGGUCUGAGAGGAUGAGCAGCCACACUGGAACUGAGACACGGUCCAGACUCCUACGGGAGGCAGCAGUGGGGAAUUUUCCGCAAUGGGCGAAAGCCUGACGGAGCAACGCCGCGUGGGGGAAGAAGGUUUUUGGAUUGUAAACCCCUUUUCUCAAGGAAGAACAAAAUGACGGUACUUGAGGAAUCAGCCUCGGCUAACUCCGUGCCAGCAGCCGCGGUAAUACGGAGGAGGCAAGCGUUAUCCGGAAUUAUUGGGCGUAAGCGUUCGUAGGCGGCUGUUCAAGUCUGCUGUCAAAGACCGAGGCUCAACCUCGGGUAGGCAGUGGAAACUGGAUAGCUAGAGGUCGGUAGGGGCAGAGGGAAUUCCCAGUGUAGCGGUGAAAUGCGUAGAUAUUGGGAAGAACACCGGUGGCGAAAGCGCUCUGCUGGGCCGAACCUGACGCUGAGGGACGAAAGCUAGGGGAGCGAAUGGGAUUAGAUACCCC